AUAUGUGCACAGCGUAUCUAACUAUCACUGUGCAUUUUUGGGGCUCUUCUUUUUUCUCUCUUUUUUAAAUUUGGGAAGCAUAUGCUUUUUGGUUAAACUGAUUUGCUAGUUUUAGUGCACCAUAGGGCCCAGUUAUUCUUGUUUCACACCUUUUAUUUUUAAUUGAUUUGUUAAUUUCCAUGAUUUUUCUUCUUCAACUAUUAACUAGGUUCCUCGAAUGGUUAAAUGGCUAUAACUAUUAUCCUGUCAAUGGUAUAUAGUUAUUCUCAAAAAAAUCUUAGUAAUUUGUGUAUUUAAAAUAAUUUAAUGACCUUUUUCUAGAUAAAUAUGAAAUUGAAGUUGAGUUUGAAAAUACUCAAUUGUUACAAUGUACUGCCCUCUCUAUGAGAGUACUUGUUUCUUUUUGGAACAGGGGGGAGUAUUAUAGGCUAUUUUUAUUAACAUUGCUUAAUGUGGACUGAAAGCAUUAUUAUUUUUAUUAAAAAUUUUAAGUUUUAUGUAUUUUGCUAAUUUUAUAUUGUAUCAUAUAUACUAAUUUUUUGAGAUAUUAUUUGAGCACGUUUUUAGCAAUUGCUGAAAUUUUUUCUAUCUUCUUUUGUAAAUAUCUUACUUUAUUAAACAUUUAAACCAAUAUUACUUGUUAAGAUAUUUCAUGCAUUCAACCUAAUUAUAGUAUGCCAUAAAGUUAAAUAUGCUUUGCAAAAGUACAAGGAUGGGGUCAGUUAUUUUGUGUAAGAAUUUUAUUUCGUUCUUUCUUUCUUUUCUUACAUUUUAUUUUAACUUCAAAUUUGAUUAUAAUUAGUUAUAAAUUCUCGUGUAAAAUGGUAAAAGUGAGUUCUUUGAAAUGUAACACAUAUUCUUUCCAAGCUAGCAAAACUCUUUUAUAUGAAGUUUUUUGUUUCUUUAGUAGGUGGAAUAUAACAAUUGUUAAUCAAUUUUUGUGUGUGUGUGUUUGUGAAAUGGCAACAGAAAGAUGUGGGAAUGGCAAGGUGAUGAUUUUUCUCUCCAAGAAGGUAUCAAUCUUGAUGAGUCCCUAGAAUUAUUUUCAACUAGUAAGUUAAGAUACUUGAAAUUACUGAUACUAACUAGUUGUUGUAAUUAGAUGUACCUAAGAUCCUAUGGAACAAUGUAAGCCAUAAUGAAAAUAUAUCGUACAUAUUUGAUGAUAUAACGCCAAUAAAGGCCUGUGGUGAUGUGGGUUAUCAUGCUACAAACAGUGGUACUUUGUUGACACACUUUGUUUAUCAAGCGAUAAUUAGAAAUGACAAAAAUAAAACUUUUGAUAUUUGUCCUUUGAAAUUUUAAGUGCAAUUUGAAGAACACAUGUCUAAUUCCAGGAAAUAAAUUAUAGAAAAUACAAAGAAUGUGAAGACAUGCAAACCGAGUUCUUAUCAAGUACAGAGGUGGAGAAUGCUACAGUUUGACACUGAGGUUUUAAAAAUUCCCUAUUGCAAUGAAGAGAUGCGACCCACAUUCCUAAAAACAAAGGUUGUAUUAUUCUGUCAGCUCAAUUUCAUUCUGAAAAUAGUUAUAUCUAAUCAGUUAAUUACCUUGUCAUAUACAACUUAUAACGACAUCUUAUUAUGUUACCAAAUUUAAUGUUGGUUCUGUUGUGUUAUGAACAUUGUACUACCUCACUGCACGGGUGGGUCUACAUAUUAUAGAGUUAUAGUCAUUACUCGUUAGACAGGGGCCAGAGGUGUAGAUUGUUUUUGCGGGAGUUUGCUUCUUCACUUCAGGUGGCCAAUGCUCUUUCAGUGAACCUUCGCCAACAUGAUAAUUUGGUUGAAGAUUUAUUUAUCCUCUAUGGUAAGAUCUUCAAGUUUGUGCUUGAUUGCUAUCUAUUUGCUCCUUCACCAUAUAUUAAGUUCUAACUCAAAAUGUUAUACUUUUAAAAAAUUCUGUUUUUGUGAAAUGCUUUUAAAUUAAAUGCAUUCUUAUUGUACUAGGUUUCUGAUAUGUGUGAUAAUCAACAUUGUUUGGUGAACUAUUGAAUUUGGCCUGAGUUUAUGGGAUUUUAAAGUUAGUUUGUGUUGGACUAUGUCAAUUUCGUAAUGCCUUUUAGUUUGGGUGAUGUAGAUUUUGUGUUUUCCAACCUAAAGAAUGUUGCGUGAUCAAUCUGUUUUUCUUGCAAGCACUAUGGUAGUAAUUAAAAAGUUAAACAUUUGUCUACACUAAUAUGUGCAGGGAAAGUUAAACUUGUGUCUUUUAUUAGUUCUGUAAGUACUAAAUCCCAACAUAAGAAUUCUGAAAGCUAGUCUCCAGGCCAUGAUGAUGAUGAUUGAUGAUGAUAGUUCAAUGUCGCACGUGUUAGUUUAUGUGGUAGGCUCAAGGAGUGGCGAGUAACCAACCAAUUAGAUCCAUCUUAUAAAGGAAGGAUUCUGAUAGUAUAGUUUCAAAUAUUCCGUACAUUAAUUUGUGAGGUAUAUAAAAAUAAAUUAAGUAUUAAUUUGUGAGGUAUAUUCCUUACAUUAAAGCUCUUGUUUAUCUUCAUGCAUAUGGACACAUCCAUAGAGAUGUGAUUGCCUAUUUGGAUUUUUAGCAAAUGAUAUUGUGAUUGUCAAUUUGUCUUUUUCUGCUUAUGAGCAAUACGGUGUACAUUAGUACCACGUAGCAACUCUAUUGUCUUUGUGUAUUGAUUUUGGCACUAAGUGCCUCUGGUGACUUAUUUUUUUCAUUUUUCUGACUUGCUAUUAUUUUUAAAUGUGCAGGAAGACUGCUUCUACGACAUGCCUUAGAAUAUUGGGUAUCAAAUUUUCAUGCUACGAUUACGGAAGACGAGGGACGGAAUUAUGAAGUAUACUCUCUAUAUAUGUAGAUAUAUACUUUGAUUGAAAAACUGUGGUAGCUUUAGAUGGUUAAUUGUAAAGAUAAUGAAUGAUUAUGUAGUGGAUGAUUUUAUUAAGUUAAUAAUAUUUUAGUUUUUUGUAUUUUUGCUAUUAUUUGCUAUGGGCACAUUGAGUCAGCC
rnacentral:lncRNA from 1 species